AGCUUUGCACAGUGGCAGUAUCAGCCAAUGAGGUUUACCCGAGGUGCGAUUAUUGCUAAUUGAAAACUUUUCCCAAUACCCUGCCUGACAACUUGCAAUAUAGUCGGCACUGGCAAUUUUUGACAGUCUCUGAUUAUUCAGUCAGA